rfam:Schistosoma mansoni strain Puerto Rico chromosome W, complete genome
AGCCUUCUGAAUUCGUGCCGAGAUUUCGUCAAACACCAGAUUAUCAGUACUGAUGAGACUCUCAGGAUAAAUGAAACG